rnacentral:rRNA from 1 species
UACGAAGGGGGCUAGCGUUGCUCGGAAUCACUGGGCGUAAAGCGCACGUAGGCGGCUUUUUAAGUCAGGGGUGAAAUCCUGGAGCUCAACUCCAGAACUGCCUUUGAUACUGAGAAGCUUGAGUCCGGGAGAGGUGAGUGGAACUGCGAGUGUAGAGGUGAAAUUCGUAGAUAUUCGCAAGAACACCAGUGGCGAAGGCGGCUCACUGGCCCGGUACUGACGCUGAGAUGCGAAAGCGUGGGGGGCAAACAGG